rnacentral:rRNA from 1 species
UACAGGGGGGGCAAGCGUUGUUCGGAAUUACUGGGCGUAAAGGGCUCGUAGGUGGCCAACUAAGUCAGACGUGAAAUCCCUCAGCUUAACUGGGGAACUGCGUCUGAUACUGGAUGGCUUGAGUUUGGGAGAGGGAUGCGGAAUUCCAGGUGUAGCGGUGAAAUGCGUAGAUAUCUGGAGGAACACCGGUGGCGAAAGCGGCUCACUGGACCGUAACUGACGCUAAUGUGCGAAAGCUAGGGGAGCAAACGGG